rnacentral:lncRNA from 1 species
AGUGGAGGCCAAGAGGAGCUGCGCGGCAGCUGGGCGGAGUGGGAGGCGCCUGGCGGUUUCGCGAUUUCUGACUUUUGAUUGCGAGCGGGAGCAGCGCGCUGGCGGGAGCUGCAGGGCGAAUAACCCGCCAAGUUGCUUCGGUGUGUGGUAGUUGCUGCCGUUCUGCAGCUGCGAGGUGGGCGACGAUGGCGGGACGAGCAUCCAGGCGGGAUCCGCUGACCGCAGCAGAGAGAGCUCCACCCGUAUGAUGCAGAGACCCAGUCCCAGAGCAGGCUGCACCCGCGUCUGCGUGAAGUCUACAGAUACUUGGCCUGCUCUGCAAAUGAACUAACUUCGCAGAGGGGCUGGCGAACACAGACAGUGCAAGCCUGGAGGAGGAAGCGGCCAGCACUGCUUAGGCCGGGUUCUCAGGACGCGCAUUACUGAAUGAGUUGAAGAUGAAUCUAAAUGGUGGUUCAAGUAUGUCCUUUGUUCACCGUAGUGGACCAUCGUGGGAGCUUCGUGGAGUGCUUCCUCAGACUGCAACUCUACCCCCGUUCAUGGGAGAUUUGCAAAGAAAGAGGACUCUUAACUGCAGGAGAAGAGGGAAGAAAAUACAAGGAAGAAAUUCUACAGCUCUUGGAUGCUGUAUGGGUCCUGAAACAGGUGGCAGUAAUGCACUGCAAAGGGCACCCAAAAGCAGGAACACUAGAAGCAAAAGGAAACAGGAAGGCAGACAAAGUGGCACAAUGGGCAGCAAUGGCAUCUCUGCCUUCUAGAGCAGAAGCGUUAGCUAUGCCUCUCCUCCCGAAGAUCCCCCUCCCGGAGACCACAAGCUGCACUUCAAAUGAAAGAACCUGGUUUGCCCCGGAGACUGGGAAUUACAUUAGAGGAGGAUGGUGACAAUUCUCCGAUGGGAGGCUAGCCGUACCUGAAAUGGUGGCCCCCAGGUUUGUGAAACAGUUCCAACAAGGAACUCGUACGAAAACAAUGGCACUAGAAAAAUUGCUAAGACGCCAUUGCUAUGUGCCACAGCUCACUGCCAUUACCUGAGGACUUUGUGAACAAUAUCUAACAUGUGCCAAGAACAACCCUCAGCACAGGCCUACCCAGCCCCCGGGAAUUCUGGAGAUGGGAGCCACAUCCUGUGAAACUUUGUUUCUGGAUUUUAAUGAGCUGCCUUGAGCAGAGGGCUCUCCGUACGUGUUGGUGUUCAUUUGCACCUUUUUGGGGUGGGUUGAGGCUUUCCUGACCUGGAUAGAGAAGGCACGAGAGGUAACCAAGGUGUUGUUAAAAGACCUUAUUUCCAGAUUUGGACUAACCCUUACUCUGGGGUCAGAAAAUGGACCAGCGUUUAUGGCUGAAAUAGUUGAGGACUUCACUUGGCUAUAACAAACCUGCACGUUAUCCACAUGUACCCUAGAACUUAAAGUAUAAUAAAAAAUAAAAAUAAAAAA